rnacentral:rRNA from 1 species
UAGGGAAUAUUGGGCAAUGGGCGCAAGCCUGACCCAGCCACGCCGCGUGAAGGACGAAGGCCCUCCGGGUUGUAAACUUCUUUUGCAGGGGAAGAAAAGGCGGCAUGCGUGCCGCAAUUGCCGGUACUCUGCGAAUAAGCACCGGCUAACUACGUGCCAGCAGCCGCGGUAAUACGUAGGGUGCAAGCGUUGUCCGGAUUUACUGGGUUUGAAGGGAGCGUAGGCGGCCCGAUAAGUCAGCGGUGAAAUAUGCCAGCUCAACUGGCAACGUGCCGUUGAUACUGUCGGGCUAGAGUUUCGGAGAGGGUACUGGAAUUCGUGGUGUAGCGGUGAAAUGCAUAGAUACCACGAGGAACACCGAUUGCGAAGGCAGGUACCUGGCCGGCGACUGACGCUGAGGCUCGAAAGCGUGGGGAUCAAACAGG